CCUACGGGAGGCAGCAGUGGGGAAUUUUGGACAAUGGGCGCAAGCCUGAUCCAGCCAUGCCGCGUGUCUGAAGAAGGCCUUCGGGUUGUAAAGGACUUUUGUCAGGGAAGAAAAGGGCGGGGUUAAUACCCCUGUCUGAUGACGGUACCUGAAGAAUAAGCACCGGCUAACUACGUGCCAGCAGCCGCGGUAAUACGUAGGGUGCGAGCGUUAAUCGGAAUUACUGGGCGUAAAGCGGGCGCAGACGGUUACUUAAGCAGGAUGUGAAAUCCCCGGGCUCAACCUGGGAACUGCGUUCUGAACUGGGUGACUAGAGUGUGUCAGAGGGGGGUAGAAUUCCACGUGUAGCAGUGAAAUGCGUAGAGAUGUGGAGGAAUACCGAUGGCGAAGGCAGCCUCCUGGGAUAACACUGACGUUCAUGCCCGAAAGCGUGGGUAGCAAACAGGAUUAGAUACCCUGGUAGUCCACGCCCUAAACGAUGUCGAUUAGCUGUUGGGCAGCAUGACUGCUUAGUAGCGAAGCUAACGCGUGAAAUCGACCGCCUGGGGAGUACGGUCGCAAGAUUAAAACUCAAAGGAAUUGACGG
rnacentral:rRNA from 1 species